GAGAAAAAUGAGUUCAGUUUAGCAGAACUAGCCUGUUCUGAAACAAAUACAAAUUGAGUUAUCUGAAAUUAUUAAAAUUGAUAUAAAGUCCCAAAGGUUGCACUACGCCCAGGCUGAAGAUAAGGUGCUGCUCCUUCAGUUUACAUUGGACUUACUUAGAAGAGUUCAGGAAGCCACAGGCAAAAUAGGUCAGCGUGAAAGUGGAUAGAGAAUUAAAGUGACAGGCAAAUGGAAACUCAGGAUCUCUUCGCAUCCACUCGGGAUUUGGUUUCUCCUACAUAAAGGCCACCUUAUGCUGCCCGGAUAUUUCCAGCAUUUCCUAGCUUUGCAGAAACCACACUGUUGGGAGAAUGGCAAGAUCUGGCCAAGGAUGGUUCUUUUGAAGACCCUGACCUGGAGUUACACAUUGACUUUGGUUCUUAGCAGGAAUGGGACCCACUCUCGGGGUCUCACGACUGGCCACUAUUCGAUAUACCAAGGAUGCAGCCUAGAAGAUUAGCUCACCAUCCGAGUUUCGGGAUUUCGUGGCUCUGGAGGUGGAUGGACCCGAGGUCAGUGCCUCUGCAGGAAAUCGGUGUGUCGUGGGAGACAGAAGAUCUCUGCCUGUGUGCCCAGAGACCCGAGUUCUUCAGGCGCAGAGCUCAGAAAAAGCAAUGAAAAGGACUUUUAACAUCGUAAAUCAGCGAGUUGUUUGUUAUGUCUCCCUCUCGCUAUGAAACGGGGACACCUCUUUUUCCCUUAUUAGGAAGAGAGAGCACCUGUGGUAUGUUGAACUACCGGGUGAAUGAGUAGUCUUUGGGGUACAGCAAGUCUGUGUCUUUAUUGAUGCUUUGCUGCACACUUGAGUGCGCGGUGGAGAGCGCCAAUGCUUU